rnacentral:rRNA from 3 species
CUCCCCGAAAGCUAUUUAGGUAGCGCCUCGUGAAUUCAUCUCCGGGGGUAGAGCACUGUUUCGGCUAGGGGGCCAUCCCGGCUUACCAACCCGAUGCAAACUGCGAAUACCGGAGAAUGUUAUCACGGGAGACACACGGCGGGUGCUAACGUCCGUCGUGAAGAGGGAAACAACCCAGACCGCCAGCUAAGGUCCCAAAGUCAUGGUUAAGUGGGAAACGAUGUGGGAAGGCCCAGACAGCCAGGAUGUUGGCUUAGAAGCAGCCAUCAUUUAAAGAAAGCGUAAUAGCUCACUGGUCGAGUCGGCCUGCGCGGAAGAUGUAACGGGGCUAAACCAU